rfam:Triticum aestivum genome assembly, contig: Triticum_aestivum_CS42_TGACv1_scaffold_328872_4BS
CUGGGCGUGCGCUGAGGUUUUGACCUAACGGCCUCCGUUUGCUGGAAUUAAUUGGAAUAGUUGAGAAGAAAGUGACGAACGGAUGCGUAAUGCGUGGAAAUCUGCCGAAUAGUUCGGGCCGAAUCCUGAAGAAAGUUCAAAGCGCUGUUUGAUGAGCCUACGUAGUAUUAGUUCGUUGGUCAGGUAAAGGUUGGCAAGCCAAUGAUGCUUAGCUGGUCUUUUUGAAUGUUUAGCCACGCUGGGACUGAGACAUAGCCCAGACUCCCAUGGGGGGCAGCAGAGGGGAAUCUUGGACAAUGGGCGAAAGCCCGAUCUAGCAAUAUCACGUGAGUGAAGAAGGUCAAUGUUCGUUUUAAAGCUCUUACGUUGAGUGCGGGAUCAUGACAUAUCUCGAGGAAGAAGCCCCAGCUCACUCCGUGCUAGAAGCCGCGCUAAGACGGGGGGGGGGGG